rnacentral:tRNA from 3 species
GGGCCUGUAGCUCAGUGGUUAGAGCGACCGGCUCAUAACCGGUUGGUCGUAGGUUCGAACCCUACCAGGCCCA